CCUACGGGAGAAAGUGCGGGAUCUUCGGACCUCACGCUAUUAGAUGAGCCUAGGUCGGAUUAGCUAGUUGGUGAGGUAAUGGCUCACCAAGGCGACGAUGUAACUGGUCUGAGAGGAUGCAUCACACUGGAACUGAGACACGGUCCAGACUCCUACGCGAGGCAGCAGUGGCGAAUAUUGGACAAUGGGCGAAUGCCUGAUCCAGCCAUGCCGCGUGUGUGAAGAAGGUCUUCGGAUUGUAAAGCACUUUAAGGCGGGAAGCGCAGUUACCUAAUACGUGAUUGUUUUGACGUUACCGACAGAAUAAGCCGGCUAACUCUGUGCCAGCAGCCGCGGUACAGAGGGUGCAAGCGUUAAUCGGAAUUACUGGGGGUAAAGCGCGCGUAGGUGGUUUGUUAAGUUGGAUGUGAAAGCCCCGGGCUCAACCUGGGAACUGCAUCCAAAACUGGCAAGCUAGAGUAUGGUAGAGGGUGGUGGAAUCUCCUGUGUAGCGGUGAAAUGCGUAGAUAUGGAACACCAGUGGCGAAGGCGACCACCUGGACUGAUACUGACACUGAGGUGCGAAAGCGCGGAGCAAACAGGAUUAGAUACCCUGGUAGUCCACGUACACGAUGUCAACUA
rnacentral:rRNA from 1 species